rnacentral:rRNA from 1 species
UACGUAGGGUGCAAGCGUUGUCCGGAAUUAUUGGGCGUAAAGAGCUCGUAGGCGGUUUUGUCGCGUCUGCUGUGAAAACCCGAGGCUCAACCUCGGGCCGCAGUGGGUACGGGGCAGACUAGAGUGCGGUAGGGGGAGAUUGGAAUUCCUGGUGUAGCGGUGGAAUGCGCAGAUAUCAGGAGGAACACUAAUGGCGAAGGCAGAUCUCUGGGCCGUAACUGACGCUGAGGAGCGAAAGCAUGGGGAGCGAACAGG